AAGUCGUAACAAGGUAACCGUAGGUGAACCUGCGGUUGGAUCAUUAACAAAUUCAAUCAAAAAGAAGCAUUAGAGGUUGGGUAAAACCCCUCUAUGUUUUUUUUUACACACAAUGUGAACCGUUUAUUGUCUCUGGUGGUGUUAAAAGCUUUUCGAAAGGAAAGUGGGAAGAUAUGAAGAAAGUUUACUUUCUAAUAGCUUCCUACCCACCGCUAUAAAUUCUAAACUAUUAUUUUUAAAUUGGCCUUUAUAAAAUCUUUGAAAAAAAGUUAAAUGAAAAAACAACUUUUGGCAACGGAU
rnacentral:misc_RNA from 1 species